GAAAUGCGAUACGUAGUGUGAAUUGCAGAAUUCCGCGAAUCAUCGAGUCUUUGAACGCAAGUUGCGCCCGAGGCUUUGACCGAGGGCAUUUCUGCCAGAGCGUCAC
rnacentral:rRNA from 1 species